CAGCGACGUUUAUGCGUUGUUGGGUAGGGGAGCGUUCUGUAAGCCUGCGAAGGUGGCCUGUGAGGGUUGCUGGAGGUAUCAGAAGUGCGAAUGCUGACAUAAGUAACGAUAAAGCGGGUGAAAAGCCCGCUCGCCGGAAGACCAAGGGUUCCUGUCCAACGUUAAUCGGGGCAGGGUGAGUCGACCCCUAAGGCGAGGCCGAAAGGCGUAGUCGAUGGGAAACGGGUUAAUAUUCCCGUACUUGGUGUUACUGCGAAGGGGGGACGGAGAAGGCUAUGUUGGCCGGGCGACGGUUGUCCCGGUUUAAGCGUGUAGGCUGGUUUUCCAGGCAAAUCCGGAAAAUCAAGGCUGAGGCGUGACGACGAGGCACUACGGUGCUGAAGCAACAAAUGCCCUGCUUCCAGGAAAAGCCUCUAAGCAUCAGGUAACAUCAAAUCGUACCCCAAACCGACACAGGUGGUCAGGUAGAGAAUACCAAGGCGCUUGAGAGAACUCGGGUGAAGGAACUAGGCAAAAUGGUGCCGUAACUUCGGGAGAAGGCACGCUGACACGUAGGUGAAGUGAUUUACUCAUGGAGCUGAAGUCAGUCGAAGAUACCAGCUGGCUGCAACUGUUUAUUAAAAACACAGCACUGUGCAAACACGAAAGUGGACGUAUACGGUGUGACGCCUGCCCGGUGCCGGAAGGUUAAUUGAUGGGGUCAGCGCAAGCGAAGCUCCUGAUCGAAGCCCCGGUAAACGGCGGCCGUAACUAUAACGGUCCUAAGGUAGCGAAAUUCCUUGUCGGGUAAGUUCCGACCUGCACGAAUGGCGUAAUGAUGGCCAGGCUGUCUCCACCCGAGACUCAGUGAAAUUGAACUCGCUGUGAAGAUGCAGUGUACCCGCGGCAAGACGGAAAGACCCCGUGAACCUUUACUAUAGCUUGACACUGAACAUUGAGCCUUGAUGUGUAG
rnacentral:rRNA from 1 species